ACGUAGGGGCAAGCGUUGUCCGGAUUUAUUGGGCGUAAAGAGCGUGUAGGCGGCUGGGUAGGUCCGUUGUGAAAACUCGAGGCUCAACCUCGAGACGCCGAUGGAAACCCCCCAGCUAGAGUCCGGAAGAGGAGAGUGGAAUUCCUGGUGUAGCGGUGAAAUGCGCAGAUAUCAGGAGGAACACCGAUAGCGAAGGCAGCUCGCUGGGACGGUACUGACGCUGAGGCGCGAAAGCGUGGGGAGCGAACAGGA
rnacentral:rRNA from 1 species